rnacentral:rRNA from 1 species
CUACACAUGCAAGUCGAGCGCGCCCUUCGGGGUGAGCGGCGGACGGGUUAGUAACGCGUGGGAACGUGCCCUUCUCUAAGGAAUAGCCUCUGGAAACGGAGAGUAAUACCUUAUACGCCCUUCGGGGGAAAGAUUUAUCGGAGAGGGAUCGGCCCGCGUUAGAUUAGAUAGUUGGUGGGGUAAUGGCCUACCAAGUCUACGAUCUAUAGCUGGUUUUAGAGGAUGAUCAGCAACACUGGGACUGAGACACGGCCCAGACUCCUACGGGAGGCAGCAGUGGGGAAUCUUGGACAAUGGGCGCAAGCCUGAUCCAGCCAUGCCGCGUGAAUGAUGAAGGCCUUAGGGUUGUAAAAUUCUUUCAGCAGGGAAGAUAAUGACGGUACCUGCAAAAGAAGCCCCGGCUAACUCCGUGCCAGCAGCCGCGGUAAUACGGAGGGGGCUAGCGUUGUUCGGAAUUACUGGGCGUAAAGCGCUCGUAGGCGGAUUGGUCAGUCAGAGGUGAAAGCCCAGGGCUCAACCUUGGAAUUGCCUUUGAUACUGCCAGUCUUGAGUUCAGGAGAGGUAAGCGGAAUUCCGAGUGUAGAGGUGAAAUUCGUAGAUAUUCGGAGGAACACCAGAGGCGAAGGCGGCCCCCUGGACAGAUACUGACACUCAGAUGCGAAAGCGUGGGGAGCAAACAGGAUUAGAUACCCUGGUAGUCCACGCCGUAAACGAUGUCUACUUGGAGGUUGUGGCCUUGAGCCGUGGCUUUCGGAGCUAACGCGUUAAGUAGACCGCCUGGGGAGUACGGUCGCAAGAUUAAAACUCAAAUGAAUUGACGGGGGCCCGCACAAGCGGUGGAGCAUGUGGUUUAAUUCGAUGCAACGCGAGAACCUUACCUACUCUUGACAUCCAGAAGAACUUUCCAGAGAUGGGAUUGGUGCCUUUCGGAACUCUGAGACAGUGCUGCAUGCUGUCGUCAGCUCGUGUGUGAAAUGUGGUAAGUCCCGCAACGAGCGCAACCCUUAUCUGUUUGCAGCGAGUAUGUCGGACUCCAGGAGACUGCCGUG